GGAAUAUUGGGCAAUGGGGGCAACCCUGACCCAGCCAUGCCGCGUGAGUGAAGAAGGUUUUCGGAUUGUAAAGCUCUUUCGGGAGAGAAGAUGAUGACGGUAUCUCCAGAAGAAGCCCCGGCAAACUUCGUGCCAGCAGCCGCGGUAAUACGAAGGGGGCGAGCGUUGUUCGGAAUUACUGGGCGUAAAGGGUGUGUAGGCGGUUUCAUAAGAUAGUGGUGAAAUACCUGAGCUCAACUUAGGAAUUGCCAUUAUAACUAUGAGGCUUGAAUGGCAGAGAGGAUAGCGGAAUACCCAGUGUAGAGGUGAAAUUCGUAGAUAUUGGGUAGAACACCGGUGGCGAAGGCGGCUAUCUGGCUGUUAAUUGACGCUGAGGCACGAAAGCAUGGGGAUCAAACA
rnacentral:rRNA from 1 species